UAGCUCAAAUGGUAAAGGAUCUGCCUGCAAUGCAGGAGACCCAGGUUCGAACCCUGG
rnacentral:tRNA from 1 species